ensembl:antisense Gm15353 predicted gene 15353
AGGAAUGCAGGAAGAGUCUCGGGAUCAGGAGCCCACAGGCUGGACUCACUCCAGCUUCUGCAGAGUCGGGACGAAGCCUCAGGAGGGAUGGCUCCACAGCAAGAAUCACCGUUUGGUUAACCCAUGACAACCCUCGGCACAGCCAGGGGCUUGGCUACUCUUUCUGGUGUCCCGUGGCGCAGCUCAGGAUCUUAGAGUCUGAUCAUCAGCUCGGAUCAGAGGGCGGCUUGGGCCGCCAGCACCUACCUGAGGCUGUGGCCGCCGUGGCCUCUGCUUUGUCUGGAACCAGCCUGAUGCCAUCAGACACGUCCACCUGGUGAUCAGCCUCCUCCCUUGAGGCCCCAUCAUGCUGUGGUGACAGAGGAUUGCUUCUAA